rnacentral:rRNA from 1 species
GAAGAAGCACCGGCUAACUCCGUGCCAGCAGCCGCGGUAAUACGGAGGGUGCAAGCGUUAAUCGGAAUUACUGGGCGUAAAGCGCACGCAGGCGGUCUGUCAAGUCGGAUGUGAAAUCCCCGGGCUCAACCUGGGAACUGCAUUCGAAACUGGCAGGCUUGAGUCUUGUAGAGGGGGGUAGAAUUCCAGGUGUAGCGGUGAAAUGCGUAGAGAUCUGGAGGAAUACCGGUGGCGAAGGCGGCCC